AUGACUUUCCUUAUAGAGGGGUCACAAACAGCAAAGAGCUCUGCCCAUUUCCUUCCCAUGGGGCCAAGGCAAGGAUGUGUCCCGGACUUCCUACUGCCACAGAAUCUGAGAGAAAACCACUCAAAGGAAACAUGCCUUUUUAUGAAAGAAGAAAAGAUCAUGAGCAAUGUUCAGCUUGGGAUAGAAUCGGGUGAUGUUUCAAAGCCGAAAAGAAGAAAAAAAGUUGGAUCCCUGUCAGACUUGAUCUACAGUUCAGGCUGA
ensembl:lncRNA